AUACGGAGGGUACAAGCGUUAUUCGGAAUCACUGGGCGUAAAGGGUGCGUAGGCGGUUUGGUAAGUCUGAUGUGAAAUCCUAUGGCUCAACCAUAGAACUGCAUUGGAAACUGCUAGACUAGAAUACUGAAGGGGCAGAUGGAAUUAGUGGUGUAGGGGUAAAAUCCGUAGAUAUCACUAGGAAUACCGAAAGCGAAAGCGAUCUGCUGGGAAGUUAUUGACGCUGAGGCACGAAAGCGUGGGGAGCAAACGGGAUUAGAAACCCCAGUAGUCC
rnacentral:rRNA from 1 species